UACAGAGGGUGCAAGCGUUAAUCGGAAUUACUGGGCGUAAAGGGUGCGUAGGUGGUUUAGUAAGUUAGAUGUGAAAUUCCUGGGCUUAACCUGGGGACUGCGUCUGAUACUGCGAAGCUAGAGUACUGUAGAGGAAAGUGGAAUUUCCGGUGUAGCAGUGAAAUGCGUAGAUAUCGGAAGGAACAUCAGUGGCGAAGGCGACUUUCUGGACAGAUACUGACACUGAGGCACGGAAAGCGUGGGGAGCAAACAGG
rnacentral:rRNA from 1 species